rnacentral:SRP_RNA from 1 species
GCUGAGUGUAGUGGUCUGCCUGUAGUUCCAACUACUUGAGAGGCUGAGGGAGGAGGAUUGCCUGAGUCCGGGAAUUCUGGGUUGUAGUGUGCCAUGCCUAUCAGUUGUCUGCACUAAGUUUGUCAUCAAUACCAUGGCCUUCUGGGAGCAGGAGACCACCAUGUUGCCUAAGGAGAGGUGGACCAGCCCAAGUUGGAAACAGAGCAGGUCAAAACUGCAAAUAUUCAGUAUACUCACUGUAUUAAUAUUUUUUAUUUGUUUUUAUUUUUUAUUUUUUUGAGAUGGAGUCUUUCUCUGUCACCCAGGCUGGAGUACAGUGGGGUGAUCUCAGCUCACA